UACGGGGGGAGCAAGCGUUGUUCGGAUUUACUGGGCGUAAAGGGCGCGUAGGCGGCCAGCAGCAAGUCAGUUGUGAAAUCUCCGAGCUUAACUCGGAAAGGUCAACUGAUACUGUGCGGCUAGAGUGCGGAAGGGGCAACUGGAAUUCUUGGUGUGAGCGGUGAAAUGCGUAGAUAUCAAGAGGAACACCUGCGGCGAAGGCGGGUUGCUGGGCCGACACUGACGCUGGAUGCGCGAAAGCUAGGGGAGCGAACGGG
rnacentral:rRNA from 1 species